rnacentral:rRNA from 1 species
GAUGAACGCUAGCGGCAGGCUUAACACAUGCAAGUCGGGGGGCAGCACGUCUUCGGAUGGUGGCGACCGGCGCACGGGUGAGUAACGCGUAUGCAAUCUACCUUUUACAGGGGCAUAGCCCGGGGAAACCCGGAUUAAUAUCCUAUAGUACCAUUAUAUAGCAUUAUAUUAUGGUUAAAGUUUCGGCGGUAAAAGAUGAGCAUGCGUCCUAUUAGCUUGAUGGUAAGGUAACGGCUUACCAUGGCUAUGAUAGGUAGGGGUCCUGAGAGGGAGACCCCCCACACUGGUACUGAGACACGGACCAGACUCCUACGGGAGGCAGCAGUGAGGAAUAUUGGACAAUGGGCGCAAGCCUGAUCCAGCCAUGCCGCGUGCAGGAAGACGGCCCUAUGGGUUGUAAACUGCUUUUAUACGGGAAGAAACACCCCUUCGUGAAGGGACUUGACGGUACCGUAUGAAUAAGGAUCGGCUAACUCCGUGCCAGCAGCCGCGGUAAUACGGAGGAUCC